rnacentral:rRNA from 1 species
AUUGAACGCUGGCGGCAGGCCUAACACAUGCAAGUCGAACGAGUGGCGGACGGGUGAGUAAUGUCUGGGAAACUGCCUGAUGGAGGGGGAUAACUACUGGACACGGGCGCUAAUCCCGUAUACCAUCGGAUGCGCCCAGAUGGGAUUAGCUAGUAGGCGGGGUAAAGGCGUACCUAGGCGACGCUCCCUAGCUGGUCUGAGAGGAUGACCAGCCACACUGGAACUGAGACACGGUCCAGACUCCUACGGGAGGCAGCAGUGGGGAAUAUUGCACAAUGGGCGCAAGCCUGAUGCAGCCAUGCCGCGUGUAUGAAGAAGGCCUUCGGGUUGUAAAGUACUUUCAGCGGGGAGGCGUUACCCGCAGAAGAAGCACCGGCUAACUCCGUGCCAGCAGCCGCGGUAAUAC